UGAUUUGAAUAUUGUUGUGUCCGAGCGGCCGCAUCAUCUUACUGGGAUGUCAAUUUUAAGGACUCGCGGAAACAGCUUAAUAUCAAGAAUAUGAUAUUUAUUAACAGACUGAACAGGAACAACGGUUUAUCUUAACAUCAGCUCACACACUCAAUCGACAUUCCUUUGGGGGGCGCUGUAGCUCUCUUAUUUAACCCUUUUUUAAUACACUACAAAUAUAUGUGGGAUUAUUAGCAGAAAUCAUGUGUCAUACUCGCGGGGACAGUAUGCUUGGAAAUAAUAUUUAAUGUCUUCCAUUGCAUUCAUUAUUUGUAGUGCGCCAGCCACAUAAUAGCAAUUAAGCUUUGUGCUUUUAGUGCUUUUAAUAUAAAACAAAGUCUCGGCUUUCAAAAUCAGUUUUAUAACGAAACACAAAUUAUGUGUCUUACACUGUAAGACCAAAUACUAAAUCUUUCAUAAAGGAAUUGGGUUGUAAUUACUGAAAAUACAUAAAAACGUUCAUUCGCCUCUAAUUAUUUGUGUAAUUAGUACAAAAAUGUAAUUUUAAGUUUACAGCACUCAAAUGCUUUCAUUAUUUUUUGGCAGUGUACUCAAAUAAUUUUAGUACAACCCCGUCUGCCGUCCCCGUGCUUACGCGCUCCGCCCUCAACUAGCUGCUGCAACUUUUGAAAAGACGCCAUGUUGUUGUUGCGCUGACUCGCCUCGGAUUUAUUUAAAUAAGUUUGCAACACAAGCUCGUAUUUUAUAGAAAUAACGUAGGAGGGGAUAUUUUUCGAUCGGGAAUUUGCUGUGGUGUUGCCUGCGAGGACCUUUGUGGGGAAACGUGGCAUGCGGUUUGAUGAGCUUCUCUUCAUCGUGCUGCCCGCGCAACUGUGAGUUAACGAUAAAAGUGAAGCAGCUGGAAGUUUAGUUUGGUAUAUUGAUGUCCAAUUAUUAAUUUUAAUACACAUUCAUUGUAUAGAGAUACUGGAACCUACAGAUUGGUGAGAUCCUGGAUUGCUGGCCUGCUUUAAAAUGGAGUCACAGGAAAUAUUAACAUCCAUGCUGCUGUCAGUGAUGUCCAUGAUGAGCUGUUGUCCGCCGUGCUCCCUCCGCCUAUCUGCUUGAGGAUGACUCCAACGUUCUCAAGAUGGGGGAUGUAGAACAAUCUGAUGAACCAGACGCUGGAGAUUUAUCACUUCGUCUCCUCUCCAUUAGUGACAAUUCAACAGUUGCCAUGUUCAUCUGCUCAGAGAAGACUGAAGUUGCACUUUGGGUAACAUGGUUAACGAUUUCCCAUUAUUGGCUCAUGCAUUUGUCAUGCUUUUUGGACUAACUUACACCUUGGAUCUAAGUUCCCCAAAAGAGUUGGACAGUACAUGUGACUUUACCCGGAAAGUCUUGAUGGGUCUGGAGGAUGGGAAGCUGAGACCCAGAGCGUUGAGUCUUAAAAAUGAACUUUUGUCAGUAGAGUUUCUUCAGUGUUUUAACAAAGGUACUCCUUUAUUUGACUUUUCAUUUAAACUUUCACUUCUGUCACUUUUAGUGAAUUGUUUAAUUUUUUUUUUUUUUUUUUUUACAAUGUGUCUAGUAUUUAAUUUGCAGAACAUUUUCUCGGUUGAUUUUCUGGAAUGGUAUACAUUCCAUAUACAGUACCAUGUUCAUCCACUCAUAGAAAUGACAGUUAAAAAAAAAAAUACAUUGCUCUAUUUUGAAAUCGUUCUCGUAUAUUCUAUUCUUGUAUAACUUUUAUAUUUCUAAAGUUACUGUUAGAUGUGAAUUUUGGAAGUGUUCCUAUUUUAGGGAAGUGUUUACAGUUGAGUGAUAUCCAGAUAUCCAUAUUGUCCACUUCUAAAAGUGACAGUUACUAUCUCAGCUCAUUUUUCAAGGACCUUGCACUGUUUUGGAGAAUGUAUUUCCAUUUGAUGUUGAACAAUUUAAUGUUGAUGUUUUGUUAA